UGGAAAUUGAUCUGCAAUAUCGGAAGUGCUGCUGCUUCGAGUGAGCUGCUGCUCUUGGUCUACAAAUAGGCCUGUAGCUUCUGAUCCUGCCAAAGUUUCCGACUGCUGAGAUUCUUCAACUUCUGUUGCUCUCUGACGAACAAUAUUUCUUGCUUUCUCAACUCCAGGAGCUCCAGAGGUGGUGGCACUUCUGAAUCUCAUGGGCUCCACAACUUCAGGAUGACUUUUCCAGCUUAAUGAAAAAGAUCUUCCCACUACAGCUGUCUUUUGGGGCUCUAAAACACCACCCUUUCCUCUCUGCUUUUUUUCUUUCUGUUCACUGAGUUUAUCCAAGGGUAAGUUAGUCAUUUCCACCCCAUACACAGUUCUUGCUAGCACUGCCGUCAGAGAGUCCAUGAUGUUGGC
rnacentral:lncRNA from 1 species